rnacentral:rRNA from 1 species
GACGAACGCUGGCGGCGUGCUUAACACAUGCAAGUCGAACGGAAAGGCCCCUUCGGGGGUCCUCGAGUGGCGAACAGGUGAGUAACACGUGAGUAACCUGCCCUUGACUUCGGGAUAACUUCAGGAAACUGGGGCUAAUACCGGAUAGGAAUCCUUGCUGCAUGGUGGGGGUUGGAAAGCUUCGGCGGUUUUGGAUGGACUCGCGGCUUAUCAGCUUGUUGGUGGGGUAGUGGCUUACCAAGGCUUUGACGGGUAGCCGGCCUGAGAGGGCGACCGGCCACAUUGGGACUGAGAUACGGCCCAGACUCCUACGGGAGGCAGCAGUGGGGAAGAUUGCACAAUGGGCGGAAGCCUGAUGCAGCAACGCCGCGGGCGGGAUGACGGCCUUCGGGUUGUAAACCGCUUUCAGCAGGGGCGAAGCUUGUGGUGACGGUACCUGCAGAAGAAGCACCGGCUAACUACGUG